CGGAUUCUGGCUCAGGAUGAACGCUAGCGGCAGGCUUAACACAUGCAAGUCGAGGGGCAGCGCGAGUAGCAAUACUUGGCGGCGACCGGCGCAAGGGUGCGUAACGCGUGAGCAACAUGCCCGUAUCAGGGGGAUAAUCCAGGGAAACUUGGUCUAAUACCCCAUAGUAAUUUUGUAAGGCAUCUUAUAAGAUUUAAAGCUUUGGUGGAUACGGAUUGGCUCGCGUGACAUUAGCUGGAUGGUAAGGUAACGGCCUACCAUGGCUAUGAUGUCUAGGGGUUCUGAGAGGAAGGUCCCCCCACACUGGAACUGAGACACGGUCCAGACUCCUACGGGAGGCAGCAGUGAGGAAUAUUGGACAAUGGAUGGAAAUCUGAUCCAGCCAUGCCGCGUGAAGGAAAGAAGGUCCUAUGGAUUGUAAACUUCUUUUGUAUGGGAGCAAUAAGGCCUACGAGUAGGUUGAUGAGAGUACCAUACGAAUAAGCACCGGCUAACUCCGUGCCAGCAGCCGC
rnacentral:rRNA from 1 species